GGCGAGGUGGCCUAGGGGUUCAUGGCGUUAGCCCGGUGUGCUAAAGACGCCGGUUCGAAUCCGGCCUUCACUA
rnacentral:tRNA from 1 species